AUAAAAUUGCGCACGGGUUCUUUAAGACAAAGCACGUGAUGCUCCGUGCCUCAGAAGCGGAAGACGAUGGGGGAAGAUGUGGAAUUGCUAAUGUAACUUUCUCUCUUGUGCUUUUAAAAGGACAGAGAUUGCUUUUCGUAACGCUGUUGUUGUCGAGAGCACUCAAUAAACGUGAGGACUUAUUGAAAGUAAGUUGGAUGGAUUAAAACUGUUUACAAUUUGGAAAAUCUUGCCGGGAAGGGAUGACCAAAAAAACUGAAAAACCAAGACCUUGCUACAGUGGGUAUCUUACAUCACUUGUACACAUGAAACAAGAUACUUAACAAGGUAUCCUUCCAACAUAUCCUUUACAGAGCAGUUUUCUAAACAUCAAAGUCUGGAUUCUUGCUAAACCAAGGUUAUACAACUUUUUCAGAUUAUAGUUAAUGUACUUCCAUACCAUAUAUUUAACAUUUUCCACAUUACUACAUUGUGGCAAACUUUGAAAGGGAUCUACAGCCUCAGUUGUGUACCCCUACACUAAACCAAAACCAAACAAAUCCCAUUAUAGUUUAGUUUGAUAUAUGAACCCAGUAUAUUUAUGUUUCUACAGUACUUUCCACAUAUUAUGUGAACCUACUUAAAUGUCCUUCAGUUCAAAUAUAUUGUAAUUAAAUAAUACAUGAUCCUCUGGGCCUAAUUCCACUAAUGCUUAAAAACAUAACUUGCUUUGAGAAUUGUUUUGUUUUUGUAUGAAACUGUUCAGUUUAAAGUUUCACUUCUAAAAUCUUGUAAUCUGUAAAAUGUAUUAUCUCUAAAAUCUUGUAAUUAAAAUUAUUACCACUGUCAUUUUGUUGUUCUGCUCUGAGACUAAUCAAAUAAAGGCAGUUGAAAAAAGCUUGCAAAAAACGUGUCUGUUCUGGAAGCAAUGCUGUCUGGGGAUGACAGAACUAUGACUGGUAUUAGCUUUAUUGUGUUACAGAUAUUUCAAUACAAUUUUUCAUUAGUUGUCUGAGAGCCAAGGGAGAAGACAUGUUUAAGCCAUAGUAAGUGCCACUUAGAGAAUCGAAGACAUUUUGGAUUAGUUAAGAAUAAACAUGCUAUUCUCAAUAAUAAAAUCUGAAAGGGGCUUAAGAUUUUUGAAACUAAGGCUAUCAACCAGUUUCCUUUCCUAGAUGGUUAAGUAGUGAUAUUUGGAUGAAAUCUGGGCUGAAUGAUCUUUUCAGGUCACUGGACUUUGAUGUAAGAAUUCUAGCAUCACCUUAAAAAAUCAAAAAUAAAACCAAGUAUUGAUCCACUAAGCACUUUUAGCAAUUGUUCAAGUCAGUUACUCACAAUGCAGAUUAUUCUAUCUAAGUACAAGUGGCAUAAAUACAAAUGAAAUUUGAUCGAAUUCUUCUGUUUAUCUCUUUUGUGAGUUAAAAAUUCACAGCACAUCCUUUGAAAGCAUGGUUUAUUAACAUUUCAAUAAAUAAAUGUUCAGUCUCUGCCCUGGAGGAAAAUGGAGGGAAAAACAAUCCAGCCUAAAUUCCAUUGCCAGCAAUGGAUAAAGGUUAAUAAAUAGUGCUUGUCUAUUAAAAAUCUGAAGGUGUAUGGCAGUACAGACUGAAGACAGAAGUUUACUUCCUAGGGCUAAUCUAUACUUUUAAGACUAGUUUACGGUGCCAAAGUCCUAGAUUGUGUCACUUCCAAAUCUAUGAUUGCAUUUCCUACCUCAGAAUUCCUUGCAUAUUGAAAAAGCUAAACUGGAGUAGAAUCAUCCUUGCAUGGUCAUCAAAAGCAAUCCUUGAAUCCAGGAAGAUUCUGAAUUCUGUAGUAGUUCAGCCCUCGAACUGUGUAAUGCAAUUAUUAAUGUACAGAAGAGCUGAGUAUCAUAUCAGUUCCUAAGCAUGCUACCUCAAUGGAAUACUAGAAGCUUAAUGUACAACCCUCAAAAUUCUUCACAGAAGAAAAUAAGGCCCUCUGUGUGGCUUUUUGUAUAUAGUUUUCUCACCAAAAAUAGUGAUACUGCAUUUAAAAUAGAAUUGUGUCUAACAUUAGAAAAUCUAGUGAUUUCAUAUUAUAUGAAAGUGAGAUGCAUCAGU